ACAGAAGUCACACAGAUGAUUACUUGGCUCCUGUCUGUCCCCAGGAUUCCUGCUUCCUAACCUGCUUUGAGACACACUUCCCUAGAAGCUUGCCUUCUGAGUCAACUGUGCACUUCUCCUUUCUCCUCUGACCUCACUUACUCAGGUCCUGCCCCGCAUGCCUGCUUAAGACUAAAUGCUGGCCUACCACUGGCAUGGUUGUUUUGGGCUCCAAAGCUUAGCUCACAUGUAGGAAACACCUCUCUCCCAUAGGGUAUCGUGUGGUGGACUCAGUGUGGACUACAGUUUAACCCUGCAUUUCCCCUUGAAUGACAAUGGGGGUAAAGUUAAUACUGAGAAUAGUAACUAUUUCAUUAAUUAAAUAUCUUCUAUAUGCCAAGCACUGUGCUAAGUGUUUCUCAGUUAAUGGUCAUCACUCCACUGGAAGACAGGGGAUAUUAACCCCAUUUUACAGACCAAGAGAACGAUGCUGGCGCAGAGAGGUAAGUAACUCGCUCAGGUGACAAUGCCAGAAUUCCAUGCCUAGUCCAAAGUCUCUGCUUUCAAGCCAUCAUACUAGUCAGCCUCGUCUAUUAAUAAACUGCAAGAACUGAGGCACAUCAUGAAACUUUAAGGCCUGUUUCUUCCCAGCCAUAAAAUUGGGAUACCAUUUCUUCGGAAGGUAACUACAAACAGAAGUCAUGUAUAUAAAGUGCUGGACACACAGCUAGUGCUUAAUAAGUGCUAGCUGGCCCUCACUCUUCCUAACAAUACUCAAGGAGACUUUCUCUAGAGACAUGCUCCUCCCUUUCCAACGUGGCUUCCUUGGGAGCCCACACCUUCCUUCAAUCCCAAGUUCACAUUUCCCAUUCAGACCUUUCCACCUCCUGGGUGUGAUGUGCACUCAUAUAAUCAUAGGUGAACAAAUGUAAAAAUACACAUCUGCUCAUGUCACUCUCCUCCCUUGAUUUUAGGGAUUGCUAUCAGAAUAAAGCCCCAAAAUCUUUAACAAGACCAUAAGGGCUCCCUUCUCCACCUUCAUUUAGCUCCUCCAAUAAGUGAGACCCUGAUUGAUCUCAAGUUUUAUCCUUCUCAGGCAUUGGCUACUCCCUUCCCCUAGAGAGCUAAGCCUUAAUCUUCCUUACAGGCCAGUCCUCAGGAAAGCCCUCCCCAAUUCUAACACUAAGGUGGUCCUCAACCAUCAUAUGUGCUCCCAUAUUUUCUCAAUUCUGAGUACGGUUUUUCACAUUUUAAUAUAUGUGAAAUUAGAAAAUGUCUUAAACUGAUGGCAUCUUACCACUAUGUCAUAGAUUUUUUUUCUUUCUCUAUCUAAAUAAUGGUGUGUCUUGUAAAAGAUGAAAUAUGACAGCGCUUUCCGCCUCCGGGCACUUAGGAUGUCUGUAAUUUUAACUGUGGACUUUUUGCUUUGUGCUUGUCUCUUGUAAAAAUUUCACUGAUAGAGACUAUAGAAAUCUUUUUGACUGCUUUUCCAGCAGCACCUGGCACACAGUUAUAUGCACAAUUAGUUGGUUACUGGACCCACAGAUGGAAAACCUUUGGUGCAGGCUACUGUGCUGCAAAGGGGAAACAAAUGUCUUCACCCAUUUAAGACAUCUCAUGUGUGAUGGGCUAUACUCAAAAUGCUCUUUGUUAACUGAAAAUGCCCUGAGGACAAAGCAGAGUUGCUGCUUACACUGGGAUAACAACCUUCUGCCCUUAGCAAAUUAAUCUGGAAAAAAUUUUGACUUAAGACCACAAAGGACAAUGGGGACAACUAUGACUCUGAUGGGGGAGAUUUUCACUGACCAAACCAUAACUGAGCAACAGGAUGGAUUCUGCUGUCAUUUCUUGAUUCACAAUUAAUCCUGCGAUGAUUCGGCGCAAGGUUUCAUGAACCUUCCG